rnacentral:misc_RNA from 1 species
GCGGUGCAAUCCCGUGGGGCAGCAAUGAACGUCCCAUACUUUGAUAGCCUGUCUACUACCACCAUAAUGGAUCCACACCCGUCUGACUUGGGAAGGGCAGAAAUAAAGUCCAUGGUGACACUGUCCCAUGGGCGUUCAGGUGUUGGUAGGGGCUCCAGCAAUCCAGCGGGCUGUCUUUGCUCUACCUUAUCUUGCUGGCAGACAAGGCAGGUGCGUACAUAGCCUUCCACAUCUUCUUCCAUCCUAGGCCAAUAGUAGGAUCUGCUGAUAAGAGCCAUUGUUCUUUGCAUGCCUGGAUGGCCAGCCCACAUGGAGUCAUGGCACUCCUUUAGCAAUUCUUUCCGCAAGUUUCCCCACCGAGGAAUGAAGAGGCGGUUGCC